AUUGAACGCUGGCGGCAGGCCUAACACAUGCAAGUCGAACGAGUGGCGGACGGGUGAGUAAUGUCUGGGAAACUGCCUGAUGGAGGGGGCUAACUACUGGAAACGGUAGCUAAUACCGCAUACCAUCGGAUGUGCCCAGAUGGGAUUAGCUAGUAGGGGGGGUAAAGGCUCACCUAGGCGACGAUGCCUAGCUGGUCUGAGAGGAUGACCGGCCACACUGGAACUGAGACACGGCCCAGACUCCUACGGGAGGCAGCAGUGGGGAAUAUUGGACAAUGGGCGAAAGCCUGACGCAGCCAGGCCGCGUGUAUGAAGAAGGCCUUCGGGUUGUAAAGUUCUUUCAGCGGGGAGGCGUUACCCGCAGAAGAAGCACCGGCUAACUCCGUGCCAGCAGCCGCGGUAAUAC
rnacentral:rRNA from 1 species